ensembl:lncRNA
GGGAGAGGGAGAUGGGGUCAGGAGAAAGAGCAUGUACAAAGCUUGGAGGUGGAGAGAGCAAGAGCUGAUGAGGGAUUGGAGUUCCUUUGGAAAGGAAGAGAUUAAGCAAUGCAGAGAAAAGCCCACAGUGAGCGCUAGAAACCCAAAUAAGAGGAGGAAAAGCCGCCAGAAAGCCUCAAGAGAGGAGGCUGAGACAAGACGGACAGGAAGAAACAAGGAACCAGAGAGAGACAGAGACAGCGGCCAAAGGACAGAGAGAGAAGGAGAAAGAUCAAGAUGAAGACGGAGACUUGAAGGCCGACGAGAAGAAAGCAGGACAGCAGCAAGAGUGAGGGGACGCUGCGGGCGGGCAGGCGGGAGGGGGCGCCCAGGACUCUGAAAGCCGGGAAGGCGCGGGUGGUGGCAGCGGCUGAGGCUGGAAAAGCUCAUUUUGCUGGUAAUUUACUCUCCUGCUUUUGGGCCGCUCCGCCUGCCGCUGCCGCCCGCCCGGGCUGCCUGUUCCAAUAUUAGAUAUAAACAAGUAAACUGUGUAAUGGAUCACAUUAAGCAGGCCUUGCGUCUUGAGGCAGGAUUUAAUUUGCAUGGCAGAUUAGCUUGUCUUCCCAGCAAGGCACCCCGGGGCACCCCGAGCUGUAAUAGGAUCCCGCCUCUUAGAGCCCAUUAAGGCAAUUGAGAGAGCCUCCUAAUCUCCCUCCCUGCCCUGCACCAGAAUCCCCUCCUGCCGCACCCAGGAGGGACUUGUGAUAGCGGGACCCCCAUCUUCUGACCCUGUGUGGUGUCCCCAUCUCAGAUCCCACUUUGCCCUUAAAGCAGGAACCCCAAACCCCAUGGGUUACCCCAUUUCAACCUCCUGCCUCAGCAUCCAACGUCAGAGAACUUUCCCUCUGAGCAGGCUGACUCUGUUUCAGAGGACCCAACUGCCCUGAAUCCACUUUCCCCGUUCCUCCAAGUGUCCCCAGGCCCAUGAUCUGACCCCCACUUUCUCCAUUCUCUGCCUGGCUCCCCCAGGCCCCCCAGCAUCAGUGGGCUUCCUAGCUGAGGUCAGGGGUGAGAAUGUCUUCCAUCCGUUUCUCCAGUUUCUCAUUAACAGCCGUACAAGAUCAUUGUCGGGGUGGGAAUCAGAGCAAGACUCAGAACCUGCGUGGAGAUCAAUGUUCAAGUUACUAUUUGGUUUCAAAGUGGGGCUGAAGUGAGUGAUUAUAACAACCCUUUUUGUGGGGCGCUUUAAAGUUUAUGUGUUAUAUCUAUCUAUUAGGUCGUUAAUCCCAACCCUCAGAGGAACUCUUUUUAAAUCAGCCCCAGUGGGCCAGGCAUGGUGGCUCAUACCUAUAAUCCUAGCACUUUGGGAGGCCAAGACAGGAGGAUCACUUGAGACCAGGAGCUCAAGACCAGCCUGAGCAACAUAGGAAGACCCCAUCUCUACCAAAAAUACAAAAAUUAGCUGGGUAUAAUAGCACACUGCCUACCUACUCCAGAGGCUGAGGUGGGAGGAUCACUUGAAUCCAGGAGGUCAAAGCUGCAGUGAGUCACGAUCACUCCACUGCACUCCAGGCUGGGCAACAGUGCAAGACCCUGUCUAAAACACCCAAGGAAUUAAAAAAUAAAUCAGUUCCGUUGAAAAGAUGAGGAAACAGGCUCAGAGAGAAGAAAUGAUUUGCCCAAGGUCAAACAAUUGGUAAGGGGCAGCUCCAGGACUCCACCCAGGUCUGCCUGGCCCCACGUGCAGAAGUCUUUCUGAUAUUGGGGUCAGCACUGGGCUCCAGAGAGGAUCCAUCCCAGGAUCCAUAUCAGGAUCGAGCUGAUCAUGGAUAUCCGUCCCCUGCCCCACCACUGGACCAGGGUGAGUGAAGCCCACACUAGGGCUUUGUCUACCCGCUUAUUUAACGGGAGGUACUCCUACAGUGGAGCUACUGAACACUUAUGAAGGGGACCAAAUAACCAAAGGCCAGUGGCACUAGAAACCAGGGAGAUUGGGGUAGGAGUAGAGAAAGACCUGCAGUCUGUGGGAGCGUCCCCCAGCCCGAUCCCCUCAGCACUGGCAAGCCCCUGAGCUGAAUUGGCUGGGCUAGGGAUGGGGCCUGUGGAGCCUACAGGGAGACAGGGCCUGGGUGGGUGGGUAUGGAUGGGGCCAGGCUGGUGGAAAAGGGUCAGUUCAGUCCUUCUUAGCUCACAAAGGGUCCUUGUUGUGGGUAAUGGGACUCCCCUGGCAGCUUUAUUUGCUGUCAGUGGCUUUUAUUAAAGUCUCCAGUUUCAGACCCUCCAACCUCCAGCCAUUGUAUGCACUCCCCCUGGGCCCUGCCCCCAUCCCCUGGCUAGAUGACUCUGAAGGGCCCCCUGCUCCAUCUCCUGGGCCCCAGCCACCAGCCUCUCACCUUCACCUCCCAGAGAGAGGGCAGAGAGGCUAUGCA